rnacentral:rRNA from 1 species
GACAGAGGCCCCAAGCGUUAGGCGGAAUCACUGGGCUUAAAGCGUGUGUAGGCGGAUCGUUAAGUGUCUUGUGAAAUCCCACGGCUCACCCGUGGAACUGCUGGGCAUACUGGCGAUCUUGGGCCAACUAGGGGCAGCCGGAACAAGCGGUGGAGCGGUGAAAUGCGUAGAUAUCACUUGGAACGCCAAUGGUGAAAACAGCUCGCUGGGGAUGUGCCGACGCUGAGACACGAAAGCCAGGGGAGCGAACGGG